rnacentral:rRNA from 1 species
AGGACGAACGCUGGCGGCGCGCUUAAUACAUGCAAGUCGAGCGAGAACCGGUCCUUCGGGACCGGGGAAAGCGGCGAACGGGUGAGUAACACGUGGGUAAUCUGCCCUCGGUACUGGGAUAGCCCGGGGAAACCCGGAUUAAUACCGGAUAGCCUUUCGAGCUCUUGGGCUCGUUAGAAAAGGUGGCUUCGGCUUCCGACUGAGGAUGAGCCCGCGGCGGAUUAGCUUGUUGGUGAGGUAAUGGCUCACCAAGGCUUCGAUCCGUAGCUGGUCUGAGAGGACGAUCAGCCACACUGGGACUGAGACACGGCCCAGACUCCUACGGGAGGCAGCAGUAGGGAAUCUUGCGCAAUGGGCGAAAAGCCUGACGCAGCGACGCCGCGUGCGGGAAGAAGGCCUGGGUUGUAAACCGCUUUCAGGAGGACGAAGCCACUCGGUUAAUACCCCAGAGGUGACGGUACCUCCAGAAGAAGACCCCGGCUAACUACGUGCCAGCAGCCGC